UCUGGGAAGAUUAAAUGUAUUCUUUGGUGGCCAUCUGGACGGCAUGAUAAACUAAUCAGCAUCAGUGAGGAAAAUAUGUACCUGUGGAAUUUAGAUGUUUCAAAGAAAACUGCACAGAUAAAUGAGCUCUAAACGGUUGGAGGAAGAAUUCACGAUGAUUGGGGCAAAUUAAACAAUUGCUCGUGUAAAAAUUAAGUGGAUAGUUUCUCUUGUAGCUCUCUUUUUUCUGGGCAUCUGAACUUUGAAAGUAAUUUGAAAAAUGUUUAACUAUUUAUAUUCCUUCAUUUGUUAUGCAUCAACGAUUAAUCAGUUCAUUUCUGUUACGGAAUCUUAUAAUGUUAUUUGAACGAGAGGCAUUAUAGAAAAUGAUUGGUUGAAGAUGAGUGAGGAUAUAGGUCAAUGGACUUCCUGAAACCAAUCUGUGAAGCCUAAAUUUGUUAGAAAGUGUUUCAAAAGUGGAUCAUAUUGCCCAUAAUGGAUUUAAUUUUGUUCCCUUAUGACAGUUGAUUAAUUGAAAUGGAAAAACUGACAUUUAAAUUUACUUCAAUUCUCAUUACAAGUCAAACACCCAAAAAAUUUCUAGGAAGUUGGUGUUAAAUUGAUAUUGUAUGUCUGUGGUUCAUAAAUUUAGCACUGAAGAUCUAGUUCAGAGUUAAAUAACGAAUAGUCAUGCGUGAUUAUGAUCACUACUAUUUGUAAAAAUGCCUAGAUUUCUUUUUUGGUGAUUUUGAACUAGUUCCUCCACGGCCUUCCAAUACAUUCAAACAUAA